UACGGGGGGGGCAAGCGUUGUUCGGAAUUACUGGGCGUAAAGGGCUCGUAGGCGGCCAACUAAGUCAGACGUGAAAUCCCUCGGCUUAACCGGGGAACUGCGUCUGAUACUGGAUGGCUUGAGAUUGGGAGAGGGAUGCGGAAUUCCAGGUGUAGCGGUGAAAUGCGUAGAUAUCUGGAGGAACACCGGUGGCGAAGGCGACAUCCUGGACCAAUACUGACGCUGAGUGAGCGAAAGCCAGGGGAGCAAACGGG
rnacentral:rRNA from 1 species